CCACCUGGGUGGCUCAGUCGAGCGGCUGACUUCAGCUUAGGCCAUGAUCUCAUGGUUCGUGAGUUCGAGCCCCGCGUCGGACUCUGUGCUGACAGCCUGGAGCCUGCUUCGGAUUCUGUGUCUCCCUCACUCUCUGCCCCUCCCCUGCUCACGCUGUACGUGUCUCUCUCUCUGAAAAAUAAAAAUAUAAAUAAACAUCAUCUGUAAAAAAUAACCCUUAAGUGGCUUCUAAUUGCUCUUAGGUUAGAAACUACAAUCCCUAUAUAUCCUGAAUGUGAUUUGGCUGCUCAUCUUAUGCCACUUUCUCCUCCUUUCUGCUUUUUACUUUGGAUUUCUUUUAAUUAGUAACAGUUACAUUCAUUAAUUGAUUAGUUUUGAAUCAAGGCAGAGACAUUUUCAUUGAUUUUAUAUUUUUCACAUUGUCCCUUACUCCCACAAAUAUUUAUGAGCCCUUCUGGCAGGCAGACCCAGGGACUGGUACUAUGACAUUCCUGGUCCCCGCCCACCCCGAGCUCUAAAUGGGAGGAGAUGCCUGGCUAACUCCUCCUCAUCCUUCCUCCCCAGCUCAGCUACUACUUCCUGGAUGAAGCCUUCACCUACACUAAUUUCUCACAGGGUCCUGUGUUUCCUACUAAGUGCUACUUGAAAUUACAGCACUUCUUGCUGUAAUUUGUAAGCUCUGUGACACUGGGAAGGUGGUCUGUUUUGCUCAAGCUUUGUUACUAUCUGACCCACAGAAGGUGCUUAGGAAUGUUUGAGGAGAGGGAAUGAGAAGAGCUGGAGAGAGGAAAGGAGACAUUAAAAAAGAAUAAAUAAAUAUAAGGGAUGGCAGAAGGAAAUAGGGAAAUAGGAAAUCCUGGGGCUCAUGUAAAAUCAAUGAAAAGAGCUACAGUUUUAUCUUAGUUGCAAGCAUUACAAUAAAAUUGAGGGCUCUUUACUAACGGGGAAGUUCUUUGCCAUCCUGCUCUGAGAAGGGAUUUCUGAUUCCAUACAUUAGCGCCCUUAAGGGUAAAAUAAACCCGAGAAGUUACUGGUUUAUUUCAUAUUUAAUAUUAAUGAGAUUUGUUGAAUGUGAAAUGUUGUAAAGCACAAGAAAAAACCUAAUCACUGGCUAAAGGCUCCAGAUUUCUCAAAGAAUAUUAAUGUGGCAGUAGUCUUUGAAAGAGGCAAGGUUGGGAUUGAAUAAACUAAUGUUUGUGACUCACAUAGCAACUAUAACAACUCCAGGUCUUAUCAGUUUCCCAGUGAAGAAGAGAGUUCCAAUAACUAAGAGAAAGCAUUUGCAGUGCAAGGAGUGUUUGGGCAGGAGAAAAGAGGAAAAUGACACUAGGUAUAUCAAAGAGCAAUAGAGGAGGUGUGGAGAUAUUGAGAAGAAAGCUGUGAGGCUAUGAAUCUUAAGAGUACCUUCUAUGUGAUGACAGGCCAAGAAGAAAGAAAUCUAGACCAGAUGUCUCUGUAACUGUUCCAGUCCUAUAGGGCCAAAGCUCAGACAUCUCAGAUGGCCUCAGACACAAGCUAGCUGUAGAGGGAUCUGAAACAAAUACAGCGUGAAUCCCCUCAUUUUUAGGCUUCUUGGAAUUUGCUUUUGUUUCUCGUUUUCUCUCCUAGUUCUUAAUCACAUCUUUGACAAUCCCAAUUAAAGUCUUGAGGGAUGAAGAAUGCAUAGGGUAUAAUGAAGACACUAAAAAAGACAAUUAUAUAAUGAUGACAUUAUGUAUAAUUUAUAUCUAAUUGUGGUGGUCACUGUUCUAAUAUCUGUGCCUCAUGACAGUACUAAGGAAGAAGUUACUGUUUCUCUUCCUGUUCUACAAAUGAAGGUGCUAGCACUUAAGUAACCCAGGUCACGUAUCAAGUCAUUAGUGAAGCUGGGACUUGAGAGCCUAGGUCCAAGCUCUAAAUUCACGCUCUUUGUUACAAGUCAAACAAUAAAUACUUCACACUCCCUGAGAUAAUUAAUGGUAAAAUUUAGUUUGUAUCCUUUCAUACCUUUUUCUAUUAACAGGCACACAUGCACACACUGGGGAACUGAAUGAGACCCUCUUGGAACAGCCUCCAGCUGCUUAACGCUCAGAAGAUUAGCCAAAUUCUGAAGAACCAUCCUGUCACUUAUGUGAAAGUAAUGUGAAACGUGGAUUUUUCUCUUAAAAUUUUUCAUGGCCACUUUUCCAGAAACUGUGGAGAUAAAUCAUUCUAUUUUUUCUUUUUUUUAUUGUAGUAAAAUAAGCAUAUUUAUAAUUUUAACCAUUUUUAAAUGUACAGUUUUGUGGCAUUAAGUACAUUCACAUUGUUCUGCAAAUUCAUUUUUCUAAUAACAGUGAAAUAUAGAUAGUAUGACUGCCAUUCAGUUCAUUCAGCUGUUACCUUUACUGGUUGAUAUUCAAAUUGUUUCUCAUUUUUGCCCUUUGCACAAUGCCGAUGAACCUAAUAUAUUUGUACAUAUACUUUUGUGAACCAAUGUUUUUAUUUUUGUGGAAAAGAUGUCCCAAAGUGGAAUUGCUGAGACAAAGGAAAUGUGCAUUUUUACAUAUCAUUAAUUACAGCCAGAUUACUUUCCAAGUGGCUGUCACAACUCACAUUCCUACCAGGAGGGUAUGACAAUAUCAUUUCCCAACUCUCUUGCCAGAGCUGAGUGUUACCAUUUAAAAAAAAUUUUGUCAGUAUGGGACCUCAUCAAGAUAAAAAACUUCUGCUCUGCAAAGGAAACAAUCAACAAAACUAAAAGGCAACCGAUGGAAUGGGAGAAGACAUCUGCAAAUGAUGUAUCAGAUAAAGAGUUAGCAUAAAAAAUCUAUAAAAAAACUUACCAAACUCAACACCCGAAAAACAAACAAUCCGAUAAAGAAAUGGGCAGAAGACAUGAAUAGAUACUUUUCCAAAGAAGACAUCCAGAUGGCCAACAGACACAUGAAAAGAUGCUCAACAUCGCUCAUCAUCAAGGAAAUACAAAUCAAAACCAUAUUGAGAUACCACUUUACACCUGUCAGAGUGGUUAGAAUUAACAACUCAGGAAACAACAGAUGUUGGCGAGGAUGUAGAGAAACGAAACCCUCUUGCGCUGUUGGUAGGAAUGCAAACUGGUGCAGCCACUCUGGAAAACAGUGUAGAGGUUCCUCAAAAAAUUGAAAAUAAAACUACCCUGGGACCCAGCAAUAGCACUACUAGGAAUUUAUCCAAAGGAUACAGGAGAGCUGAUUCAUCGGGGCACAUGUACCCCUAUGUUUAUAGCAGCACUUUCAACAAUAGCCAAAUUAUGGAAGGAGCCCCAAUGUCCGUUAACUGAUGAAUGGAUAAAGAUGUGGAUUAUAUACACAAUGGAAUACUACUCAGCAAUGAGAAAGAAUGAAAUCUUGCCAUUUGCAACAACGUGGAUGGAACUGGAGGGUGUUAUGAUAAGUGAAAUACGACAGGCAGAGAAAGACAGAUAUCAUAUGUUUUCCACUCAUAUGUGGAAUUUGAGAAACUUAACAGAAGACCAUGGGGGAAGGGAAGGGGAAAACAAUAGUUUCAAACAGAGAGGAAGGCAAACCGUAAGAGACUCUUAGAUACAGAGAACAAACUAAAGGUUGAUUGGGGGGAGGGGCAAGGGAGAGGGGGAAAAUGGGUGAUGGGCAUUGAGGAGAGCACUUGUUGAGAUGAGCACUGCGUGUUGUAUGUAAGAAAUGAAUCAUGCUUCUGAAGCCAAGAGCACACUGUACACACUGCAGGUUAGCUAACUUGACAAUAAAUUAUAUUUUUAAAAAAAUUUUGUCAGUAUGACAAAUGAAAAAGGUUAAGAGAAUAUUUUUUACCCUUGGGAGAAUUUUUUUAAAGAGAAUAUCCAGAAGCCACAAAGGAAAACACUGAUAAACUUAACUACAUUAAAAUGAAAAAUUACUAUAUAAGUAAAAUCCGGGGUGCCUGGGUGCCUUAGUCGGUUGAGUGUCCAACUUCGGCACAGGUCAUGAUCUCACGGUUUGUGAGUUCGAGCCCUGCGUCGGGCUCUGUGCUGACAGCUCAGAGCCUGGAGCCUGCUUCAGAUUCUGUGUCUCCCUCUCUCUGCUCCUCCCCCACUCACACUCUGUCUCUCUCUCUCUCUCAAAAAUAAAUAAACAUUAAAAAAAUUAUAAGUAAAAUCCAAAGACAAACAAUAGGAGAAAACAUUUGCAACACAUAUGACAAAGGGUUAGUACCAAUUGAUAAGAAAAUAACAAACAGCCCAAUGAAAACUAGGAAAAAGAAUGUAAUUCACCAACGAGGAAAUGCAAAUUGUCAAUAAACGUGAAAAGAUGCUUAACCGCACUGAUCAGUAAAUUAAUUCAUUUGUAUGGUAAGUUUGGGAACAAGGAGGCACACUCCAUGUGAGGGAAGGGCAGAGGAGGAAUCUAAAUAAUUGGAUGCUCAGUCUUUAGCUCUUCUAUGAGUUUGGCCUCUGGUAAAGCUUUCGUGAUUCUGAUGAUGCUUUCCAGAAUUUCUUAAUGAUGCCAUUCAUGUGGGUAUCUGCUGUCAAAGGCUAUAAUCAAGAGACUCCUGUAAGAAUUUAUUCUCACCAUUUCUAUUGCUGCUUAGUCCUGCCACUUGGCUAUUGUCUACAGUCAUGUCCACUUGAAUCAUCAGUAUCUUUAUUGGGACAGAUUGAAAUUGUUUUUGCUAUUAUGUAGAUGUACCACCAGCCAUCCUCAACUUUUAUCUGAAAGCCAAUGCCAUUUCCACAAACAAGCUAUCAUUUGGGGACUUACCUCUUUAGACCUCACCCCAACACUUCAGGAAGGCACAUACUCAUCUUUUGAGACUGGUCCUAGUUUAGACUUGCCCUGAAUUCAGGGCAAAAUCUGCCCCCGGAUGAAUGCCAACUCUGUCCGACUAGUACACCUACUUGCUUUUGCUUCCAGCUUUGUUUGCUUGGUGCCUGGGCCUUCCUGACCUCCCUUUUCCUCUCAUUUUCCCCCACUUAAAAAAAAAUUUUUUUUUUUGCUUAGUGAUUGUGGCUUGACUUCCCACUAACUGAUACCUGAUUUGGCCUCAGGGUCCUUCCACUAUAAACUGCCUCCACAGGCAGCCAAAGGAAGAUCCUGCCCCAUUCCCUGGGCAACUAAGGAGUAGAAGUAGGAAGGAAUUCUUGUAUCUUUUGUCCCCCAACUCUACUCUGUGGGAGGACACAGCUGCCCCUAGGGCAGAGAUUGCUGGUGUUGUGGGGCAACUGGAAGAACUUGGCCCUGUCCUCAAUGACGUUGCCUUCACAAUUCACAGAGACCUUAUACACUUGCUGGGGUUUUUGCCAUACUUUGAUAACUUUUCAGUCCUCAGGCUCCCCUAGGAAGCUUGAAUAGUUGAUGUUCUUACAAUCCCAUUUAACUGAAAAAGGCAAUCCACAAAGGAGAAAUGUAAAGAGAAUUUGGCUUAACUGUAUUCUGUGAUUAAAGGCCUAGCAGAGGAAGAGCAUACAAACCAGGCCAUGGUGAGGAUCUAUGAGGUUGAGAUAUUCUCAGACACUGGGAAGCAGGGUUCUGGUCUUUGCCCCCAAACGUGGUCUGAGUGAUGUUACCCUUUAUAAACCAUCUCAGAGGGUUCAUGGGAUGAUCUGCCAGAGUGAUCACCCAGUGUGUCCUGCUGGGAUCAUGCUUUCCUUUGUGAAGUUUCCUACAUUGGUGCCUUCCUUCCAGGCUUCCAGCUGGGUUGCAGACAUCAACCCAACUGUCAUGGAUUAGCUUGUAUGUAGAUUAGAUCUAGUAGGAUGUGUUUCUGGAGUCCUUUGGCAAAUGCAUCAGCUGGGAUUCAGAGUAAUGGGUAACCUUUCUCGAAUAGAUAAUUCAAAGGAAUAGUGUUGUGGUUUCAGCCCUGUCUGCACUUUAGAAUCCGCUGGAGCACUUUAAAUCAAGUGAUGCCUAAACCUGUAGAUUUAUUAAGUCAGAAUCUCUGUGCUUGGGACAAGGCACAGGUAGGUUUUCAAAGCAAAAGGUGAUUCUAAUGGGCAACCGGGGUUGAAAACUACUGGGCUAGCCAAUUGUUGAUUGAAUCAAUGGUGAUAACCUUACAUGUUCAAGAGGCCUGCAAGAUCCCUAUUAUAUAUAUGAAGAGAAUGUUAUUCUUCAGGACCGUGGACACCUUUGUGGGAAGCAGUGGAUUCUCAAACUUUAAUGUGCACACAAAUCACCUGAGGAUCGUUUUAAAUCACAUAUUUUAACAGGAUUCUGCAUUUCUAACAAGCUCCCAGGAGGUGCUGAUCCGGACUAUGCACCACAGUGAGAAGCAAGUAUCUAGACCAGCACUCUGCAAACUGGAAUAGGAUACAUGAAACUUCCAAGCUGGUAUUGAACAUCCUUGUACCUGUCUCCAGCUUCUAUGACAUGAAGAAGCUGUUGACUGCCAAGUAAAGACACAGAGAGAAGAUGCCCAUCUAUGAACCAAGAAGUGGGAUCUCAUCAGACACCUAAUCUGCCGGCGCCUUGAUCUUGGACUUCCCAGCCUCCAGAACUGUUGAGAAAUCAAUGUUUGUUGUUCAAGCCCCCCAGUCAGUGGUGUUUUCUUAUAACAGCCCAAAUAGACUAAGACAAAGUCUAUCUUAGGGAAUAUUACCACACUGAUUUCCUACAUCCUGGAAACUGGGGGAAUGUGGCCCCAGACAAAGCAAAAACAGAUUUGGGGACAAUGCUCAAAGAAAAUAAAUAAUUUAAAACUGUGGUCUGUC